AAACCUUUUCAGAGGUACAGACAGGAUGGCUAGUUCAAGAGCUACGGACAUAGAAGGCUUGUUUGGCUAGUUGCUUUUGGGUUUAUUUCCCUCGCCCUUGAUGUUGUAAAGUGUUGUAUUUUUAUAGAGUGAUAGGUUUGUAUUUAAGUCUUGUAUGAAUAAUUAUUAUGUAUUAAUAUUAAUUAUGUGAGUAUAUGUUUAUCUGACAUAGUUGAG
rnacentral:lncRNA from 1 species